rnacentral:rRNA from 1 species
AUACGGAGGAUCCGAGCGUUAUCCGGAUUUAUUGGGUUUAAAGGGUGCGCAGGCGGGAGAUUAAGUCGGCGGUGAAAUUUUGCAGCUCAACUGUAAAAGUGCCUUCGAAACUGGUUUCCUUGAGUGUAGGUGAAGUAGGCGGAAUUUGUGGUGUAGCGGGGAAAUGCAUAGAUAUCACGAGGAACUCCGAUUGCGCAGGCAGCUUACUAAACUACUACUGACGCUCAGGCACGAAGGCGUGGGGAUCAAACAGGAUUAGAUACCCUGGUAGUCCACGCAGUAAACGAUGAUUACUAGAUGUUUGCGAUACAAUGUAAGCGGCUGAGCGAAAGCGUUAAGUAAUCCACCUGGGGAGUCCGUUCGCAAGAAUGAAACUCAAAGGAAUUGACGGGG